UCGCCGCCACGGGAAUACAGAGGGUGCGAGCGUUAAUCGGAUUUACUGGGCGUAAAGCGUGCGUAGGCGGCUUUUUAAGUCGGAUGUGAAAUCCCUGAGCUUAACUUAGGAAUUGCAUUCGAUACUGGGAAGCUAGAGUAUGGGAGAGGAUGGUAGAAUUCCAGGUGUAGCGGUGAAAUGCGUAGAGAUCUGGAGGAAUACCGAUGGCGAAGGCAGCCAUCUGGCCUAAUACUGACGCUGAGGUACGAAAGCAUGGGGAGCAAACAGGAUUAGAGACCCGCGUAGUCCCUGUCUCUUAUAC
rnacentral:rRNA from 1 species